CUACGGGGGCAGCGGUGGGGGAAUUUUGGACAAUGGGGAAACCUGAUUAGCCAUCGCAUUGUGCGAUGAAGAGCCUUCGGGUUGUAAAGCACUUUUGGCAGGAAAGAAACGGCGCAGGAUAAUACCUGUGCAACUGACGGUACCUGCAGAAUAAGCACCGGCUAACUGCGUGCCAGCCGCGGUAAUACGGCGGGUGCAAGCGUUAAUCGCGGAAUUACUGGGCGUAAAGCGUGCGCAGGCGGUUCGGAAGAAGAUGUGAAAUCCCAGAGCUUAACUUUGGAACUGCAUUUUUAACUACCGAGGCUAGAGGGAGCUGUGUCAGGGGGAGGUGGAAUUCCGCGUGUAGCGGUGAAAUGCGUGGAGGGUAUGCGGGAAGACACCGAUGGCGAGCAGCCUCUGGGAUAACACUGACGCUCAUGCACGAAAGCGUGGGGAGCAAACAGGAUUGAAUACCUGGUAG
rnacentral:misc_RNA from 1 species